UUGGUUGAAACCAAAAUAGAGGUAUAUUACUGUUAAUAAUAAAACUGAAUGAACAAUAUUCCAACCAAG
rnacentral:tRNA from 1 species